GUGGGCCCUCGAAAUCCUGUGGCGGGAGGAUUCAGUCGGAGGCGGCCGGCGGGCUGGACGGGACACGGAUAUCGGUUACCCGCGAGAGGGGCCGUCCCGUCGCCCGGCGUGUCGCACUCGACGCAUUUGUUUCCCGCCCGAAGGACGCCGCAGCCGGUCGGGACGCACGACGGCCUGGAGGGCGCGCGAUGGCAGGUGGCCGGUGGUUGGGUUCCGAUCCCUCCGCCGGUUGUUAGCCGGUGCGCCCGGGCACGUCGCCCGACCGAGGUGUCACGAGGCCCGUAUGGGCUCCUCCGCCUCCUCCCUUGGCCGGAGGCCGGGGUGGAACGGCAGACGUCAUUCCGGCACGGGGCCGCACUGGCCUAUCCAGUGGGCCGCCUAGUCGGCGUCAUCGAUGGCCGUUUCGCGCCCGUGGGAGUGCUGGCGGCUGGCGGCGAGUAGGUCGGUCACCCACCCGACCCGUCUUGAAACACGGACCAAGGAGUCUAACAUGUGCGCGAGUCGAUGGGUCUUGAAUAUGCCCAGAGGCGCAAUGAAAGCAAAGUGCUCCGUUCCCGAGUGUCCGGAGCCUAGUUGGGAUCCCCCCUGAGAUACGGGGGGCGCACCAGCGACCCGUCCUAUCCGAUUCAUCGGUUGGGCGGAGUUCGAGCGCACACGUUGGGACCCGAAAGAUGGUGAACUAUGCCCGGGCAGGACGAGGCCAGAGGAAACUCUGGUGGAGGUCCGUAGCGGUUCUGACGUGCAAAUCGAUCGUCGGAUCCGGGUCUAGGGGCGAAAGACUAAUCGAACCGUC
rnacentral:rRNA from 1 species